CUUUUUUUAAAAAAAAGUCAAAAUCAAACCAUAAUGGUCACCAUCACCAGGAAAGUGUACCAGAAAUCUGCCAAAUUUGAGGAACAUCUGUCCGUCUUCCAAAAGACAUAUGUGUAUUCUGACAGCCUCAGUACUUUUACUUAUUUUACUUUCAAUCUCUCUUUUUAUUGGCACUUUUGAAGGAAAUAUAUGGGAAUUUCAAUUCAAAAUAUUCUUUUUCUCUCUGACAAAUAAUAUAAUAUAGCACUUAAAUCAGAGAAUAUUCAAGAAGUGGGCA